GAAGAUAGAUGCAGUUUGUUGGUUGUGUUGUGAGGAAGAAGAAAGAGAAGAAGUUGAAGUCUGUGCUAUGAGGAAGUGCCCAUGAGAAAUUGCUGAGAAGAUGUUCUGCAGCGUGCCCGUUGUCUGUCAUCUCCCCACUUCAAAGGUGGACAGUCAUUUUGCUGCCCGCGUAACCUCACCUACUGUAUGCAUCUGGUUAAGGGAAGAAUAAAGAAUAAAAUUCCACUAUUUUGGAAUACCAGGCAACAUCCAUUCAACAAAACCCGCAUGUAUGGUUCACCACAUACAAAGUCCUUGUCCAGCUAACCUCAAGGGCAAGGACAAUGUUGUUUGUUUUUUCCUUUGCCUUUUUUGUCUCUAACUGAAACAUGUGUCCUUAAUCUUGUUAUUUUUCAAGUUAUGCUGUGCACCAUGAGUUAAAAAUAGCAAAACGUUAGCUCAAGUAAGAAGAACUAAAACGCGUACAAUAAGUCUUGGAUGCUUUUUCUUCAGAUACCUGGAGUUUUUCAGAUUAAAUUGCAUGUCCAACACAUACAUUUUGAAAAGUCUUGCAAUGUUUGGAUUAAUGAUUUUAAAAAAUUUUCUGGUUUUUCCCCUUACUCAUAUAAUUCCUCUCCUUGGUUGUGAUUGAGUCUUCUCUGAAGUACCUCUAGGCAUUAAAGUAAGCCAAGUGCAGUUGGUGAAUUGGAAUGGAGUCAUUAACUGGAGUCAAUUGCCUGCACACAAUUAUCAUGUAAAUUACUUACUAAAACUAUUUUACACGUUUCCUGCUUAAAACUACAUUUAUUUCUGCAUUCUUGACCUUUCUUCUAUUACUUUGAAUAUAAUUUCUGAUGACUGACAACAGGUUUUUAAGCUACUGAUCUUGUUCGUUGUCAGCCUUGCCAUUUUUGUGCUUUUAUUUUCUCAUCAACUUGGACUCUGAACAAACAAUAUUUCUUACGCCUCCCACCUCAUUAAACUUCCACGUUCUUCAGGAGAAAUCACCUAACAUAAUAAAACUCCGAAAUAUUUAAGCCAAGCCGAAUGGUUUAUUUUGCAUUAUAACAAUAACAAUCAUUGCUUACUCUGGGAUGUCGCUGGUGAGAUGUCUUUAUGACAUAUUAUUUUUAUAUUAUAUCAAUUGACAUUCUAUCCCAUUUAAUUCUUAUUCUAGAAUUGUUUGGUAGACUAAUUAGU